GAUGAACGCUGGCGGCGUGCCUAAUACAUGCAAGUCGAGCGAACAGACGAGGAGCUUGCUCCUCUGACGUUAGCGGCGGACGGGAGAGUAACACGUGGAUAACCUACCUAUAAGACUGAGAUAACUUCGGGAAACCGGCGCUAAUACCGGAUAAUAUAUUGAACCGCAUGGUUCAAUAGUGAAAGACGGUUUUGCUGUCACUUAUAGAUGGAUCCGCGCCGCAUUAGCUAGUUGGUAAGGUAACGGCUUACCAAGGCAACUAUGCGUAGCCGACCUGUGAGGGUGAUCGGCCACACUGGAGGGGAGACACGGUCCAGACGCCUACGGGAGGCAGCAGUAGGGAAUCUUCCGCAGUAGGCGAAAGCCUGGCGGAACAACGCCGCGUGAGUGAUGAAGGUCUUCGGAUCGUAAAACUCUGUUAUGAGGGAAGAACAAAUUUGUAAGUAACUAUGCACGGCUUGACGGUACCUAAUCAGAAAGCCACGGCUAACUACGUG
rnacentral:rRNA from 1 species